rnacentral:rRNA from 1 species
ACACACCGCCCGUCCACACCAUGAGAGUUGGGAAUACCCGAAGCCUGUGAGCUAACUAUAUGAGGCAGCAGUCGAAGGUAGAAUCAAUGAUUGGGGUGAAGUCGUAACAAGGUAAC